rnacentral:rRNA from 1 species
CUCCUUUGACGUUAGCGGCGGACGGGUGAGUAACACGUGGGUAACCUACCUAUAAGACUGGGAUAACUUCGGGAAACCGGAGCUAAUACCGGAUAACAUUUGGAACCGCAUGGUUCUAAAGUGAAAGAUGGUUUUGCUAUCACUUAUAGAUGGACCCGCGCCGUAUUAGCUAGUUGGUAAGGUAACGGCUUACCAAGGCGACGAUACGUAGCCGACCUGAGAGGGUGAUCGGCCACACUGGAACUGAGACACGGUCCAGACUCCUACGGGAGGCAGCAGUAGGGAAUCUUCCGCAAUGGGCGAAAGCCUGACGGAGCAACGCCGCGUGAGUGAUGAAGGGUUUCGGCUCGUAAAACUCUGUUAUUAGGGAAGAACAAACGUGUAAGUAACUGUGCACGUCUUGACGGUACCUAAUCAGAAAGCCACGGCUAACUACGUGCCAGCAGCCGCGGUAAUACGUAGGUGGCAAGCGUUAUCCGGAAUUAUUGGGCGUAAAGCGCGCGUAGGCGGUUUCUUAAGUCUGAUGUGAAAGCCCACGGCUCAACCGUGGAGGGUCAUUGGAAACUGGGAAACUUGAGUGCAGAAGAGGAAAGUGGAAUUCCAUGUGUAGCGGUGAAAUGCGCAGAGAUAUGGAGGAACACCAGUGGCGAAGGCGACUUUCUGGUCUGUAACUGACGCUGAUGUGC